rnacentral:tmRNA from 2 species
GGGGAUGAACGGCUUUGAUGAAGAAUUAACCAAAACAGUCAGGUCAAGUUGCCAGCAUCUUGUAAAACUGCCGGCAAAAAAAUAAGUGCCAACUUAUUUGCUCCGCUAAGCGGAGCUCCCGCUUACGCUUAAAUCGUAAGCCAUCUAUUCUACUGAUUCUCGAUAGGUAAAAAUAGGUGUCAAAAAAUCGAGAUAGACAUCUAUCACGUCUCGGAUAUGUGUCGAAAACUAGAGGCUAGGAAUACUAAAGUUUUAUCUAUUUAAAAUUUAGUUUUCCGAAUAAAUAAAAUAGAUUAAACUUGUAGAACUAUUUUGGCCAAUAUUCUUCAGACGCGAGUCCGAUUCUCGCCAUCUCCACUC